CCUAGGGGUGGCAGCAGUGGGGAAUAUUGCACAAUGGGGGAAACCCUGAUGCAGCGACGCCGCGUGAGCGCUGAAGUAUUUCGGUAUGUAAAGCUCUAUCAGCAGGGAAGAAAAUGACGGUACCUGACUAAGAAGCCCCGGCUAACUACGUGCCAGCAGCCGCGGUAAUACGUAGGGGGCAAGCGUUAUCCGGAUUUACUGGGUGUAAAGGGAGCGUAGACGGUCCUGCAAGCCAGAUGUGAAAGCCCGGGGCUCAACCCUGGGACUGCUCUGGAAACUGUAAAGCUGGAGUGCGGGAGGGGCAGGCGGAAUUCCUGGUGUAGCGGUGAAAUGCGUAGAUAUCAGGAGGAACACCGGCGGCGAAGGCGGCCUGCUGGACCGUAACUGACGUUGAGGCUCGAAAGCGUGGGGAGCAAACAGGAUUAGAUACCCCUGUAGUC
rnacentral:rRNA from 1 species